GUGUGUGUUCCUCAGCUUCCUGGCUACUGAGUCUUCUCAAGACCAGAGCUCCCUGGCUUUUCAGAAAACCAGCUCUCAAAUCAUCUAGAUCAUCUAUCCCCCUUACUAGGUAGUCCAGUGUGGCCCAAAGCCUAUUUGGACUUUUUUUUUCUUAAAGGAGAAGAAAAAAAGAACCAAGUGAAAACAGAAAAUAAUUCAGCCACGUGAAGCUGAAUUAUUAUAGCUGCCCCAUGUGAGUCGGGAAAGAGAAGGGUGCUUCCUAAAACAUGUUAGACAAGGCACUCUGCGGCUUAGUCCCAUCCUCCACGCCCCGAAGUCUGCAGCUCUCUCAUCAUCUUUGCUGCUUGAGUUUUGAGAGGGGCCCAGUGUGCCUUCUGCAAAGCCUGUGCCACUUGCUUCGAAAUGUGGCUGUCUCUGGAGGGUUCUCACGAGUCCCACGCUGGAUCCUGAGGGCACAGAACUGAAGCUGUUUCAGUUUUUGGUUUGCAUGUUGUUGUUACUGUCGCAAAAGGGAAAUAUCAACUUGGAUAUUAACAAAAUGGAGAACUGAGACCCACCCUGCGAUUUUUGCCAUUUUCUCAUUUUGGUAGAACAAGAGCAAAGAACAAAGGCGCCUUCUAAUGGCAUAACCUAACUUUUAAGAUAAAGGAUGGACAACCAAUAGCAAGUGAAAGCCUAAAGAUGAUUCAUCUCAACCAAAGAGAUGGUACCAAGAAGAUGCGUCCUUUACAUUGACACAUCUGGAGCCAUAAUCUGCUGAGACUAUCCUCAGGGUUCUUCCUACUCUGCGGGGACUCUCCCAUUUCAGACCUCCAUUCAUCACCAUCCUGGUUUUGGCCCAACUAAGAUGAGCCACAGUUACUUUUGUUUAUUUAGUAUAUUAUUUUAAUUCAAUUUCUUUUCUCAACUUCAAUAAAAUCUUUUCCUCUUUCUGAGCAAUAAGACACAUGAAAUAAUAA
rnacentral:lncRNA from 1 species